GGGUGCGAUCAAUACCAGCACUAAUGCACCGGAUCCCAUCAGAACUCCGCAGUUAAACCGUGCUGGCGAGAGUAGUAACUAGGGAUGGGUGACCUCCUGGGAAUCCUCUGUUGCACCCC
rnacentral:rRNA from 1 species